AGAGGAACCGCAUUUGCGCGCGCCGGCCUUUCAGGAAUUUGUUGGUCCGCCCCUAGAAUAGCCCCUAAACCCAUGUUGUAACCUAGUGGGAACACCGACGAUGGGAGUUGAUUCCACAGUUUGCAUGUGCGUGGAAAAAACGAUCUGGCACAACGGGCGGUCAAAGUGCACCAGGCACCCCGGCGGUGAGGGUGAAUUU